rnacentral:rRNA from 1 species
GCAAGUCGAGCGAGAAAGCCUUCGGGUGAGUACAGCGGCGGACGGGUGAGUAACGCGUAGGAAUCUACCUGGUAGUGGGGGACAACAUGGGGAAACCCAUGCUAAUACCGCAUACGCCCCAAGGGGGAAAGCGGGGGACCUUCGGGCCUCGCGCUAUUGGAUGAGCCUGCGUCGGAUUAGCUAGUUGGUGGGGUAAAGGCUCACCAAGGCGACGAUCCUUAGCUGGUCUGAGAGGAUGAUC